rnacentral:rRNA from 1 species
GGAUUAGAUACCCUGGUAGUCCACGCAGUAAACGCUGUCGAUUAGGAAUUUGUUACGUAUGAGUAAUGGGUUUUGGCGCUAACGCAUUAAAUCGACCGCCUGGGGAUUACGGCCGCAAGGUUAAAACUCAAAUGAAUUGACGGGGGCCCGCACAAGCGGUGGAGCAUGUGGUUUAAUUCGAUGCAACGCGAAGAACCUUACCUACUUUUGACAUCCUAGGAAGGUUUUGGAGACAGAACUGUGCCUUUGGGAGCCUAGAGACAGGUGCUGCAUGGCUGUCGUCAGCUCGUGCCG